CGUACGAUUUUUAACGCGAACGCGACUCUGUUCGACGGCGGGAAAAGAAAAUCCGUGGUUAUAUUUAAAUAACCGCGUUCUGUCUGACGAACAGGCGAGAAGCAACGGUUCGACGAGCAGCUUUUAGCCUCGAUGCAGCCGCGACCGGUCGUGAUUUUCAUUUUUCCACUAUGGCCGAUACAAGCGGCACAGACAUCGAGCCGUACAAAGUCCGACGGAGAUCGAUGAUUGUGUGUUGGUGCACUCGUCUCUUCGUAGUCAGAGUAAAAAGACGGGUUUAUCUCACGACGAUUAACCAGCCGGCGAUCGACAAAUGGAACGAACAAUACGCCGCGUAUCACGGAUUGAUUUUGAUAUUUUGGAGCCACUUGUUGGGACUAUCCAACGCUUUAUUUGGGAUCGUAGAGGAAGAAAUGCAAUAUAGUUUUUAUAUAAAAGACAAAGAGUAGAGCUGGAGGAAAUAUAGGAAGAUUUGCUAGGAAGAAUGUACGGCAAAUUGGUUACAUUUAAGGAUUAAGUUCGAGACUUAAAAAUUAUUUUAGGACAGAUCGUUUAAACUGUAAUUCUUAUUAAAGAUUCUACUCUUACUAUUAUUAGAGAAUGAUAAAACUGCUCCACAUACAAUAAUGUAGCGUAAUUAACUUAUCAUAAUAUAACUACGUAUUCUGUAUUUCGUCACAGGCCCCACUGAUUCUAUUUUCGCUGAUAA